rnacentral:rRNA from 1 species
GAUGAACGCUGGCGGCGUGCCUAAUACAUGCAAGUCGAGCGAACAGAUAAGGAGCUUGCUCCUUUGAAGUUAGCGGCGGACGGGUGAGUAACACGUGGGUAACCUACCUAUAAGACUGGGAUAACUUCGGGAAACCGGAGCUAAUACCGGAUAACAUUUAGAACCGCAUGGUUCUAAAGUGAAAGAUGGUUUUGCUAUCACUUAUAGAUGGACCCGCGCCGUAUUAGCUAGUUGGUAAGGUAACGGCUUACCAAGGCGACGAUACGUAGCCGACCUGAGAGGGUGAUCGGCCACACUGGAACUGAGACACGGUCCAGACUCCUACGGGAGGCAGCAGUAGGGAAUCUUCCGCAAUGGGCGAGAGCCUGACGGAGCAACGCCGCGUGAGUGAUGAAGGGGUUCGGCUCGUAAAACUCGGUUAUUAGGGAAGAACAAAUGUGUAAGUAACUGUGCACAUCUUGACGGUACCUAAUCAGAAAGCCACGGCUAACUACGUG